CCAAAAACGAAAUGUUGACAAAAUAAAAGCACAAUAAAUACUCGACGCCCGAAAACACGUCGUACUCACAUCCCCCAGCCCAAAUAUAAAUAAAUAUAUAUAUAUUCCGGCGAGAGCAACAAGAGUCCUGCUGACUGACACUGGACAGGCAGAUGAAAGUGGCGAAAACAAGGACCCCCAGAUCUCCUUUGCAGCUGGGCUCCUGUCUCCUGGUCUCCUCCAGCGUCCUGCAGUGUCCAGCGUCCUGGUUCCGUUUGUGUGCCUUCCACUUGCGGUUAGUUAUUUUGUACUCAAGAGCCCGCCCAGCCCAGCAAUUGUCCUUUCGUCGCACUGAAUUACAUAUAAACGCCGGCCUUAUGGCCGCUUUUAUAGUAUUUCAUUUUAUUAGUCACCGACUGUCGAUUGUUGUGUAUCCAUGACAACGUGCCACGUCUGCCGCAGUGGCGUAUUUUUAUACUAAGACGAUUACGGCUCACUAAAGCAACCUACAAAUGUGCUGUGUUUUGCUACCCGAAAGGCACAUUGUUCGGUUUAGCUGGAAUCCCAGUUCUGGGUAGCUCUUCCAAAGCAAAAAAGCUCUAAAAUGGGAGCGUAUGUGGGCUAAUAAGCUUAAACGAAAUUUGUAUCUUAAAGCAAACAAUCUUUUUUAAAGAAAUUCAUAGAA